rnacentral:rRNA from 1 species
UCGGGGUACACGAGUGGCGAACGGGUGAGUANACACGUGGGUGAUCUGCCCUGCACUUCGGGAUAAGCCCGGGAAACUGGGUCUAAUACCGGAUAGUACUGCGCGGUGCAUGCCGUGUGGUGGAAAGAUUUAUCGGUGCAGGAUGGGCCCGCGGCCUAUCAGCUUGUUGGUGGGGUAAUGGCCUACCAAGGCGACGACGGGUAGCCGGCCUGAGAGGGCGACCGGCCACACUGGGACUGAGACACGGCCCAGACUCCUACGGGAGGCAGCAGUGGGGAAUAUUGCACAAUGGGCGCAAGCCUGAUGCAGCGACGCCGCGUGAGGGAUGACGGCCUUCGGGUUGUAAACCUCUUUCAGCAGGGACGAAGCGCAAGUGACGGUACCUGCAGAAGAAGCACCGGCCAACUACGUGCCAGCAGCCGCGGUAAUACGUAGGGUGCAAGCGUUGUCCGGAAUUACUGGGCGUAAAGAGCUCGUAGGCGGUUUGUCGCGUCGUCUGUGAAAACCAGCAGCUCAACUGUUGGCUUGCAGGCGAUACGGGCAGACUUGAGUAUUUCAGGGGAGACUGGAAUUCCUGGUGUAGCGGUGAAAUGCGCAGAUAUCAGGAGGAACACCGGUGGCGAAGGCGGGUCUCUGGGAAAUAACUGACGCUGAGGAGCGAAAGCGUGGGUAGCGAACAGGAUUAGAUACCCUGGUAGUCCACGCCGU